rnacentral:rRNA from 1 species
UACGUAGGGGGCAAGCGUUGUCCGGAAUCAUUGGGCGUAAAGAGCGUGUAGGCGGUUUGGUAAGUCCGCUGUGAAAGUCAAGGGCUCAACCCUUGAAUGCCGGUGGAUACUGUCGAACUAGAGUCCGGAAGAGGCGAGUGGAAUUCCUGGUGUAGCGGUGAAAUGCGCAGAUAUCAGGAGGAACACCGAUGGCGAAGGCAGCUCGCUGGGACGGUACUGACGCUGAGACGCGAAAGCGUGAGGAGCAAACAGG